rfam:Hordeum vulgare subsp. vulgare, WGS project CAJW01000000 data, contig: morex_contig_132622
AGGCUAUGACGAGAAAAGGCAUGCACCACUCUUAAGAGAUUUAUCUCUUGGUGCUGAUAAAGAAACCUACAACCCAUUUUACAUCUGAGCCG